UGGGGAAUUUUGGACAAUGGGCGAAAGCCUGAUCCAGCCAUUCCGCGUGAGUGAAGAAGGCCUUCGGGUUGUAAAGCUCUUUCAGCAGGAACGAAACGGUGGGUUUUAAUACAGCCUGCUAAUGACGGUACCUGAAGAAGAAGCACCGGCUAACUACGUGCCAGCAGCCGCGGUAAUACGUAGGGUGCGAGCGUUAAUCGGAAUUACUGGGCGUAAAGCGUGCGCAGGUGGUUGUUUAAGACAGAUGUGA
rnacentral:rRNA from 1 species